UGAAAAGUUCUAUUUGAAAAAGCCUAAAAAGAGCCAGCUGUUGAUAUGUUUUGCUCUUAAAACCAGAUGUCUUUUAUUUCCUGCCUCCUUUUGCUGGGAGCUCCCCAAUGAUUGGUUAAUUAAAGAGAAAGACAAGUUAAACCUGGGAGGAAAAGCAUCUUGGAUAUGUGUUCUCCUGAUUUGUGCCCAAGGACAAGGACUGGAACCCACAGUGGAGCAGAGCAAGGCUCCUGCAGGUAGGAAAAGAUUCACAAAACCAGAACAAGAUACCUUGGGCCAGCCAUAAAAAAACUUUGGGACUUAGGAAGAACACUGAUGCCAACUUCACAAUAUGGAUUGUUACUGAAAACUGCUUCUAACACUAGAAAAAACUCACCUGUUUUUGAGAAGCUUUCAGAAGAAUUUGAAGUCAAGAAUAUUGAAGUCAGACUGCAAAGAAUGUGUUGGUGAGUGACACAUCUGAAUGCUGUUUAGAGCUGCC